AUUGAACGCUGGCGGCAUGCCUUACACAUGCAAGUCGAACGGUAACGGGCCUUCGGGUGCCGACGAGUGGCGAACGGGUGCGUAAUACAUCGGAACGUGCCCGAUCGUGGGGGAUAACGAGGCGAAAGCUUUGCUAAUACCGCAUACGAUCUACGGAUGAAAGCAGGGGACCGCAAGGCCUUGCGCGGACGGAGCGGCCGAUGUCGGAUUAGGUAGUUGGUGGGAUAAAAGCUUACCAAGCCGACGAUCUGUAGCUGGUCUGAGAGGAUGAUCAGCCACACUGGAACUGAGACACGGCCCAGACUCCUACGGGAGGCAGCAGUGGGGAAUUUUGGACAAUGGGCGCAAGCCUGAUCCAGCCAUGCCGCGUGCAGGAUGAAGGCCUUCGGGUUGUAAACUGCUUUUGUACGGAACGAAAAGCCUUCUUUUAAUACAGGAGGGUCAUGACGGUACCGUAAGAAUAAGCACCGGCUAACUACGUG
rnacentral:rRNA from 1 species